AUUAUCAACCAAAGGAAAAACAAAUACCAGUCGCAAUAGUAAUUGUUCUUAUUUUAGUUUGAAAAAUUCUGUCUGCAAGGGAAACCUUUAUUAAAACUACGACAAUACAAGAGAUACAAAGUUAAGUUUCCUGUUGACAUUUUCCGGGGUGUAAAUUUCCUUAUUUUAAUUCAAUAAAUCAUAUAUAUAUUCAGUGUAUGCUUUUAAAAAUUAAAAUACACUUAAGAGAUGAUUAGAUGAUGAUUCCAGUAUACUUCAAAAUAGUUCCUGUAUUGUAAUUUCUUAAACUUUCAAAGAUGUAAAUAUUUUGAAGUUUAUAGCAAUCAAUAUUAUUUUUAUCCUUUUCGUAAAU
rnacentral:lncRNA from 1 species